AGAUUCUUAAAUAGGUCGCGCCUGCGCCUAAUUGAGUCUAUAAAAGCCUGCACAUUCAGUUUUGCUAGCUACAAUGCAGUGCGGCUGGCGUGAGCUGUCUCCACGAUGCGCUUCGAGCGUGUCGAUUUCGCCGUUCUUUAUGUUGGCGUUAACGACCUUGAAAGCAACAUGGAUCCACAAGAAAUGUGCGACAACAUCAAGGCCUUGAUUGUUCAACGAGACGGCCCCCGUCGUGCUGGUUUUCAAGGUGCUCCCUCGCUGCCUAGAAGAUGCUGAUGCGGAAUAGAAAAUGCAAAAACGUCGCUUGCUCAACCGCAAAUUGACGGCUACGCUGAAGCGCAUGCCGUGUCUGCGGAAUUUGAACCCCGAGCUUUCCAGAGUUCCUUGGAAAAUCCUCCCAUGCACCUGCCAUGUACAUUGCCCUCCUCCUCGAUGUGGCGUGCAAGAUGGCAGCAGCAGCUGUGGGAACAGUUGAAGAGGCGAAGAAAGGUCCACUUUAUAAUAGGUUCUAUGUAAAUAAAACUGAUCGACCU